GACGUACCACCCAAACGUUAUUCGGAAUCACUGGGCUUAAAGAGUCCGUAGGCGGCUCAAAAAGUUGGAUGUGAAAUACCUCGGCCUAACCGAGGAACUGCAUUCAAAACUACUGGGCUUGAGAGAGACAGAGGUAAGCGGAACUGAUGGUGGAGCGGUGAAAUGCGUUGAUAUCAUCAGGAACACCGGUGGCGAAAGCGGCUUACUGGGUCUCUUCUGACGCUGAGGGACGAAAGCUAGGGGAGCGAACGGG
rnacentral:rRNA from 1 species